AGCAGGUCCCAAGGGUUCGGCUGUUCGCCGAUUAAAGUGGUACGUGAGCUGGGUUUAGAACGUCGUGAGACAGUUCGGUCCCUAUCUUAUGCGGGCGUAGGAGACUUGAGAGGAUCUGUCCCUAGUACGAGAGGACCGGGAUGGACGAACCUCUGGUGCACCAGUUGUCGCGCCAGCGGCACAGCUGGGUAGCUACGUUCGGAAAGGAUAACCGCUGAAAGCAUCUAAGCGGGAAGCCCCCCUCGAGAUGAGGUCUCCCUGAAGGCCUCUGGUAGACCACCAGUUUGAUAGGCGGGAUGUGUAAGCGUUGCAAGACGUUGAGCUAACCCGUACUAAUCGGCCGUUUGGCUUGACCAUUUAUU
rnacentral:rRNA from 1 species